UACGUAGGGUGCAAGCGUUGUCCGGAAUUAUUGGGCGUAAAGAGCUCGUAGGCGGUUUGUUGCGUCGGCUGUGAAAUCCCGAGGCUCAACCUCGGGUCUGCAGUCGAUACGAGCAAACUAGAGUGUUGCAGGGGAGACUGGAAUUCCUGGUGUAGCGGUGAAAUGCGCAGAUAUCAGGAGGAACACCGGUGGCGAAGGCGGGUCUCUGGGCAACAACUGACGCUGAGGAGCGAAAGCGUGGGGGAGCGAACAGG
rnacentral:rRNA from 1 species